UAGGGAAUAUUAGAAAUGGACGAAAGUCUGAUCUAGCAACACCGCGUGUGCGAAGAAGGCCUUCGGGUUGUAAAGCACUUUUUGGAAGGAAUAGGAAGGAAGGUACUUCCAGAAUAAGCCUCGGCUAACUACGUGCCAGCAGCCGCGGUAAAACGUAGGAGGCGAGCGUUAUCCGGAUUUACUGGGCGUAAAGCGUGUGUAGGCGGUUUGAUAAGUUGGAUGUGAAAGCUCCUGGCUUAACUGGGAGAGGUCGUUCAAAACUAUCAGACUUGAGAGUGGUAGAGGGAGGUGGAAUUCCGCAUGUAGUGGUGAAAUGCGUAGAUAUGCGGAGGAACACCAGUGGCGAAAGCGGCCUCCUGGCCCAUUUCUGACGCUCAGACACGAAAGCUAAGGUAGCAAACG
rnacentral:rRNA from 1 species